UUAUAGUUGAUUUACAAUGUUCUGUCAAUUUCUGCUGUACAGAAAGUGACCCAGUUACACAUAUAUAUACAUUCUUUAUCUCACAUUAUCCUCCAUCGUGUUCCACCACAAGUAAUUAGAUAUAGUUCCCUGUGCUUUACUGCAGGAUCUCAUUGCUUAUCCAUUCCAAAUGCAAUAGUUUACAUCUACUGAUCCCAAAAGCCCAGUCCCAUCCCACUCCCUCUCCCUCCGUCUUGGCAACCACAAGUCUAUUGUCCAUGAUCUCGAAUUUGUUUCUUUUCUGUAGAUAGGUUCAUUUGCACCAUAUUUCAGAUUUCAGAUAUAAGUGAUAUCAUAUGGUAUUUGUCUUUCUCUUUCUGGAUUACUUUCCUUAGUAUGAGAAUCUCUGGUUUCAUCCAUGUUGCUGCAAAUGGCAUUAUGUUGUUCUUUUUUAUGACUGAGUAUAUUCCAUCAUGUAUAUGUAGCACAUUUUCUUAAUCCAUCACCUGUUGAUAGACAUUUAGGUUGAUUCUGUGUCUUGGCUAUUAUGACUAGUGCUGCAGUGAACAUAGGGGUGCAUUAUGUUUAAACAUUUUGCCCUUGGUACAGCCUGAAGCCAGCCAAUUACAGUUUCACCAGGUCCNUUUUUUUUUUUUUUUUUGGUUGCAACUGCUGCAACAUUCAGACGCUCCCAGACAGGGGAUCGAACCAGCACCACAGCAGUGACCUGUGAGUGAAGCUCACAGACAUGGCUGAGCCACAGUAGUGACAAUGCUGGGUCCUUAACCUGCUGCGCCACAGGGAAGUCAGGGUCACUCUUAUUUAUUUACGGGAUCAUGGGAAGACCAGGGGCAUCGGGAGGAAAUUCUGGGGUGGCCUGAGAGUACGCUUGGGAAAUGGGGGAAACAGUGGUUAUUUAUAGCUGAGUACAAAGUAGUUUCAAUAUUAUAGCACAGGGAACUGUACUCAAUAUUUGUAAUAACCUAUAAGGGAAAGAAUCUGGAAAAGUGUGUGUGUGUGUGUGUGUGUGUGUGUG
rnacentral:lncRNA from 1 species